UGGGGAAUAUUGCACAAUGGGCGCAAGCCUGAUGCAGCCAUGCCGCUUGUAUGAAGAAGGCCUUCGGGUUGUAAAGUACUUUCAGCGGGGAGGAAGGCGAUAAGGUUAAUAACCUUGUCGAUUGACGUUACCCGCAGAAGAAGCACCGGCUAACUCCGUGCCAGCAGCCGCGGUAAUACGGAGGGUGCAAGCGUUAAUCGGAAUUACUGGGCGUAAAGCGCACGCAGGCGGUCUGUCAAGUCGGAUGUGAAAUCCCCGGGCUCAACCUGGGAACUGCAUUCGAAACUGGCAGGCUAGAGUCUUGUAGAGGGGGGUAGAAUUCCAGGUGUAGCGGUGAAAUGCGUAGAGAUCUGGAGGAAUACCGGUGGCGAAGGCGGCCCCCUGGACAAAGACUGACGCUCAGGUGCGAAAGCGUGGGGAGCAAACA
rnacentral:rRNA from 1 species